CCCAACAAGUUGGCUCAGGCAGCAGUCCAUCAUGGCGGCCCUCGGCGGAGACCUUAGUGGGCUGGUAUGUAGCAGCCUUUUUUGGUACAUAUAAGCCAAAGCAGUGGUUCAUAGGAGCCGGUACAUACUAGCCGACGGUACAUAGCAGCUAGCAUUCUCUGGAACCUGCGUCAUGAACGGCAGGUCAUCUUGCGAUUGCAGCUUGGCCAGUGUUGAGCUGACCCUCCCGAGAGGGGCGAAGGUUGCAAGCUCCAGAAUGACAGAAUGGAAAAAUUGAGAAGAUUCAAGAAAUAUGGGCAGAUGAGUGAGGGGUUGUGCCCUUUCAUGCCAUCCAGAACACUAUUCCAGUGCAGGCAGGGACAAAGGAUGCUGCAGUGAUUUCAGCUCUGGACAAAAACUUUGCAUCUGCAUAAUAAUCCAGCUGUUUCAAAGAAGUGCAGGGGUGGCAGAUCUCCACCCAUAUGAGUGUGUGAUGUUGAGGCAGUCACAUUCAGUUCCUUGGCAAGCCUGGAUAUCGAGCAAGAAAUGAGCCUUCCUUUCCCCCAACUGGACCCACUUGAUGCUGGAGGGACAGCACCAGUAAGUUCUGCCUGAACUACCUGCUGCUAGACUCAAGAAUCACCCAGAACCUUCUAAAAAUGUUUUUGGACAUCAACCAGCACGCCUCUUCUCAAAGAUGCAUAUGCUGCAAGUGCAAGACAGGGAGCAGUGAGGAGUCAAGAUAAUGUACCUGCUGUAACACUAAUGCACUGGUGCCACUGCACAUGCCCACGUGAUGGAGUGGCUAGCAUGCCUGGCUAUGAAUCUGCAGGCUCCUGUUCAAAUCCAGGCUGGGGCAAUUGAUGCACAGCACGCCCAGUUGUUCAUCCUUCCCGUGGCUUGGUUGAUAGAUGGAUACCUGGGGAAGGCAGAAUAUGGAGACACAGUGGCCAUGUACCCCAGGAUGAGGGAUGUCAUCCACCACAGGCUUACAGGCCACUGAGAUAUGGUGUGCUCCUGACUGCACUUUUGUAACACCAGUAGUAUAGUUACUGUAGUCCAAGGUUUAUCUUUUAAAGUUGUGCAGAUGGUGCUAGCCACAGAAUGUGUGUAAUCAUGACUUAAUAUGGUAUGGUUUAAUAUGGCAUUUGCAUUGUAGACAGACUUGGAGAGGAUGAAUGAAUGGACAGGUAGAUGGCAAAUGCAAUUUAAGAUUAAUCCCUUUACUACUAAUGAGGCAAAAAAUGAGGCAUAUUGGGUAUUAAGAUUCAUGUUUAGGAACAAUAAAGUAGAAGUUCUGAAGUAAUAUUAGAAUUAUGUUUGGCAUUGGUCAGACCUUGUGGUCCCAAUAUGAGUAUCAGGAAGGAUAUAUUCCUGUUAGAAAUGCUAUAGAGAAGAAUGAUUAAAAUGGUAUAGGUCUAUAAGAGAUAUAACAAGGGUGACUGCAAAAUCCAAAGGAUCAGUAAUCAGGAUAGAACACUAGUAAAUAUUAAUGCAAGCUUGAUCAAGUUAAAUUUGAAUAGAAUAAACUUGGUAAUCAGGUUGCUAAUGGUGAGUCAUUUAGAGCACUUAAAAGAUUAGAUAAAUUAUGGAUGAGGAUGAUAGCUUAUAAUAAGUAGAUAUGUUUCAUGCAGGGACUGUCACAUGCGGGCCUGACAGCUUCUUGCAGUUUCUUAUAUUUUUCCUAUGUUCUUAUGUAUCGUAUAUACUGAAAUGAAGAUGGUGAGGUGAAUGUGGAGGUUGUGAUCUGUUGUAGCCAGAUCUGUUGGUUUUUCUUGUAAAGUGACAUUAAGUUCAGAAAGAUUGUGUGUUAACCAGUUUCAUUGGCAUUUAAAAGAAAUAUUUGAAGAAAAAAGUGUUUCAGAUAUAUUGAGCUUCUAAUGAUUAUCUACAGUAAAUCUGCUAUAAAUUAGUUUUAUAGGAGAAAAAUCCCAUCCAAAGUUAAGAGUUGUAAGAAAGUUAUGGCCAUAAUAUGUUCACAUUUACCUGAAAUAUCAAGAUGUAUACCAUCUAAGUUUUCCAUCUAAGUUUUUAUUUCAAAAUCCAGUUUAUGAAUCCAUAGAUAUGAAUAUGUGAUCUAUAGAGAUACUGUAGUCCAAGUGUUGAAAAAAUUGUACUAUAGAGGUUGUACUGUAGUCCAAGUGUUGAAAAAAUUGUACUACAGAGGUUGUACUGUAUUCCAAGUGUUGAAUGAAUAUGUGAUUUAUAGAGGUACUGUAGAAAAGUGUUGAUAAAAUUGUACUAAGUCAAAAAUACUUGAAAGACUGUCCAGAAACAUUGUAAUUGUGUUAAUGAAAUAAAUAAAGCUAUCUCAGGGACAC